GUGGCAGCUGCAGUUGCAGAUAAAGGCAGGACUCAGGCUUAGCAGCCUGCUCGCUCCUGGAACCUGGAACCUCACACAGCCUGGGGAGCACGCAGACCCCUCCAGGCCAGUGCUUCGACAUGCAAGAGGUGGCCCUGAGUCUGCUCGUCCUCCUGGCAGGCCUGCCUGCCUUGGACGCCAACGACCCAGAAGAUAAAAACAGCCCUUUCUACUAUGACUGGCACAGCCUCCGGGUCAGCGGGCUCAUCUGCGCAGGCGUCCUGUGUGCCCUUGGCAUCAUUGUCCUCAUGAGUGGGAAAUGCAAAUGCAAGUUCAGUCAGAAGCCCCGGUAAGAUGGGCUCCAGGCAGCAUGCCUGCCUCAUGCUGGACAGACAGCUUUCAGGGCCGCCACCCCGGGGAUGCCCCACCUCUCAUCACAACAGGCUCUGCCCAUAACUGCUGAGGAUAGAUAAGCUGAAAGCACACAGAGAGCCUCUCUCUGCACAGGAGCCUGAAUCCAGGACCCUCCCUUCCCUCCUUAGACGGCUUUACCAGGGCACCAUCUCAUCUCUCACUGGAGGGAUCUCUUUGUUGAAUUUUCACUAUAAAAUGAUCUUGCUCCUGCCCA